UACGGGGGGGGCAAGCGUUGUUCGGAAUUACUGGGCGUAAAGGGCGCGUAGGCGGCCUGCUAAGUCGGACGUGAAAUCCCUCGGCUCAACCGGGGAACUGCGUCCGAUACUGGUGGGCUCGAAUCCGGGAGAGGGAUGUGGAAUUCCAGGUGUAGCGGUGAAAUGCGUAGAUAUCUGGAGGAAUACCGGUGGCGAAGGCGGCAUCCUGGACCGACAUUGACGCUGAGGAGCGAAAGCUAGGGGAGCAAACGGG
rnacentral:rRNA from 1 species